rnacentral:rRNA from 1 species
GGUAAAAAGCCGGAGGAAGGUGAGGAUGAUGUCAAGUCAGCAUGACCUUUAUAUCCAGGGCUACACACACGCUACAAUGGUCUGUACAAUGGGUAGCCAAGCCGCGAGGCGGAGCCAAUCCUGAAAGCAGGCCUCAGUUCAGAUUGCAGUCUGCAACUCGACUGCAUGAAGCCGGAGUUGCUAGUAACCGCAGGUCAGCAAUACUGCGGUGAAUACGUUCCCGGGUCUU